rnacentral:rRNA from 1 species
AUUGAACGCUGGCGGCAGGCCUAACACAUGCAAGUCGAACGAGAGGCGGACGGGUGAGUAAUGUCUGGGAAACUGCCCGAUGGAGGGGGCUAACUACUGGAAACGGUAGCUAAUACCGCAUACCAUCGGAUGUGCCCCGAUGGGAGUAGCUAGUAGGGGGGGUAACGGUUCACCUAGGCGACGAUCCCUAGCUGGGCUGAGAGGAUGACCAGCCACACUGGAACUGAGACACGGUCCAGACUCCUCCGGGCGGCAGCAGUGGGGAAUAUUGCACAAUGGGCGCAAGCCUGAUGCAGCCAUGCCGCGUGUAUGAAGAAGGCCUUCGGGGUGUAAAGUACUUUCAGCGAGGAGGCGUUACUCGCAGAAGAAGCACCGGCUAACUCCGUGCCAGCAGCCGCGGUAAUUC